GUGGGACAUCCAGACGGCCUGUCGGCUGAACAGAGCUGAGGGCCACUACGACCCCGGCUCUGACCCCUGUUGACAAGACUCCAGCAUGUGCAGAUGGAGCCAGAGAGGAGGGAGAGAACAAGGUCCUACGUUUCCACAGUGGUCCGUGAAGGUGGUCCAGAGAAGCUAGGAACAAGAUGAUGCCAGGGCGAUGUCACAAGGGACGAGGAGGUCUUGGAAGACUCGAGGAAGCAGAACUUUGAAGU